AAAUAAGUUGAAAAUAUUGUGGCGGUCUCGAUAUGCGUGAUAUUUUGGUUUUCAAACUUUCAUUUAUUAUAAUUUUUUGUUUGAAUAUUACGGUUAUGUCUUAUAACUCAAUUUAGUCGACGAAAUGCUAUAUAUGUUACUAAUUUAUUAGUAACGUCGAAGUGAUGUUGCAAUAUUGUGGUAGAUAAUAGGACAAUGAUUAAGAUGCCAUAUUAUUUCUAUAUCAGUGACACGUCAAUAUUCAGUCAAUUAGCAAUGUUUUUAAAAUUGUAUCAAAUAGUGAUCCAAAAAUGUUACUGGGCUGAGAAUCAUUCUGACGUAAGCAUAACAGAUAAAUAUUUAAUUAUUAUUAUCUAAUUUUAUUAUAUACAAAAGUAUACAUAUAUCAUUAUUAUUAUUCUGGCACCAUACUUAAAUAUAU
rnacentral:lncRNA from 1 species